rnacentral:rRNA from 1 species
ACUCGUGACGGUGGAUGUCUUGGCUCCAGCAACGAUGAAGAACGCAGCAAAAUGCGAUACGUAGUGCGAAUUGCAGAACCCGUGAAUCAUCAAAUCUUUGAACGCAAGUUGCGCUCGCGGGCAAUCCUGCGAGCAUGUCUGCUUGAGUGUCCGCACAAAU